CGGCUGCAGGGUGGCGCCGGAGGGCGUGGCGCCGCAGACGCAGUGUUCCGGCUAGGGGCGGGAGACCCCGGCCCAGCCUAGCCUGGUCGCUUAAGCCAAGUGUCGGAGGCUCCGGGAAGCCGGCAGCACACCAACGGCGGAGGCUCCGGGAGCCCGGCAGCACACUAGCGGCCUCCGGCUCCAUUCCGGAGCCUGCGCUUAAAAGCUUGUCCUUCCCAGGCGGGCGAGGCAACCCGCCCUUGCGCAGUACCUACUGAGCUGCCGCCUCCGAGCCCUGGGCCGGAGAAGGAGCUCUCACUGAGCAAGAAGUUUGCAGAAGCUGUAGGGUAGCGCCGAAGCAUCUGUGUCCUUUACACCUCUCCUACGAGGAGAUUCACGGCCCGGGUACUCCACGAUGGAUCCAAGGUCGGUGUCCACCUACCCUGCAACCAGUCUGCACCUAGACCCGGGCUGAGGGCAUCCGGCACGGACGCAAAGUCCUGGAAACUCGGCAAUUUGCAGCGUCCACAGCGGCAGAAGAAACCGAAGGUCACCUAUGGCAAAGUUACACAGCAAGUGGCAGAGCUGGUAUGGGACCCAGGUCUAUCUAACACCACACCAGUGCUGAUCUAAUGUGACAAGUGAAAGGCUGGCACCCUGAGAGACUGUUUCUUGUUUAGAGGAAGUGACACCAUUACACUGGAAACACUCACAAAACAGAGGAAUGAAUGGCACUGCAAAGAGCUGGGGACCCUAUGGCUCUCCCCUUCUCUUUAUUCUCACUUUGCAUUGCCUGGAAACCCUCUGAGACCCAGUAAGA